rnacentral:tRNA from 1 species
GCCCGGGGGGCUCAGUCGGUUGAGCGUCCGACUUCGGCUCAGGUCAUGAUCUCACGGUUCGUGGGUUCGAGCCCCGCAUCGGGCU